GAGACAGAGGUGGGGAGUGUGUGGGCAUCUGAUCCUGGAAAUGCUGGAACUGGCACUUCUGUGGGGCACAGCGUUCAGAUGGCAAGGGCAGAUUGUUUCAUGGGCUUAGGACUAUCUACAUUUAUUAUUGUUAGAAUCCUGGCAGUGCAGCCCCACAAUGAAGUGAGAUAAGCGCACAUCAGGGAGGGAAGGUGCUGCAACCAAUGGCAAGAUCAGAGCAGAAGAUAGGAGUGGGUGUAGCUGAAGUGUGAUGAUUCUUUCCCAAACCUCAAGAGACUAUAAUUUCAAUGAUAUAUUUCUGGCCAAACUGUACACCAGAGUUUAACAAGCAACAGAACUCUUUAGGCUGUCACAGUGUGUGUGAAAAUAUCCUACUACUUGCCAUAUUUCAAGUUCUUAUUAAUCUUCAAUCACUCUCACAGAACCUCCCUCGUAACUCAAAGGUAAAAGCCAGAAUGAAGGAAGGAAGAUGGCAGUGCCGGAGUGCUGCUCAGAAGCAGCAGGGCUCAUGCUGUGAGCUGCACGUACUGCGUAUCUGUACCAACAGGAGAUCAUUAUGGGAAAAGGGCAGUGAUUUGCACAUCUGAGAAGCCCUUGCUCCCUCGGGGCAGUGGACACGUAUACCAGCCUCACUGGGGAUCACUGCAGUGCAUGCGGUAUCGCUCCGCAUUCAGACACAGCAGCCUUUUGCAUGUUCAAAAUCCCGUGCAGACAGGAGCUGAGAUCCUCAGAGCUCUCUGGCAAAAUGUGCUGUUUUCAAGCACUUGCUCAUUUCAGAGUCCAGUGAAGAAUGAGUGCUAUGUCUGAGUAAAAGAUUGUGGCAGUGUUUUUAGGUGCCAGAAUGAUUCAGGGAUAUGCACGGGAGGCUGUGAAGCAUGCUCAGUCGUGGGGGUUUCUCUAAGUGGCAAGAACACAGCCCCUAAUUGAAAGCAGCUUUAACUCUUCAUGAGCUGCUUCAAACCACAACGCCUGCCCCAGUCCAGAUACAAGAAUGUGUUUUCAUUCUUUAUGUAAUCAAAGGGAUAUAACCAGAAUUUACAAGCAUAAAGAGGAAAAAAAUGUAAAAGCUUGCUUAUCCGAAACUUGCACCUGAGCAUCCUAAUGCUAAAAGCCUCUACACGUAAACAACGUCUAUGCUAAGUGAAUACUGAAAGUCAAAAACACACACACAUCCACACGCAAAAACAAAACCCCAACAAUCCUACUCCACCUCAGGGCUUCUCAGAGGUGCUGAGCAUUUGCAACCUAUAGAUAAAGUCAGAAUUUCCAUGCCCAGCACUUCUGGAACUACCCCCAAAACAUCUGGUGCAGGGCUACACAAUUAUGGACUCAGUGUCAGCAAACAUUUAGGAAAUAUGUCCAGAUCUUUCUUGACAAAUUAAUUUUUACUGCUCUUCAAGCUAUACCAAAGUGGAUUAGCUUGAUUCGGAAGUGGAUUAAAUCCCACUGAAAAUGACUGAUCUGAAACAAUGACCUUUCACUGCAGAACAUAACAUGAAAGACUUUGGGGAUCAGACUAAUGAAGCGCAAAGAUAAAAUGCCUUUGCCACCAUUUCCAAAAGCGGCCCCUUAUUCCUGGUGCCCUACUCAAGCCUCUGUAAGUGCUCAUUUCUUCUGAAAAUGAGGCCCUAAGCAAGUUGAGCCCAGCACCCAGAACAACAGGCUUCCUGAAAAGAUGGGCCUUGAAGUCAUCUCUCCUGAUAUUUGUCCAGAAUGGGCCUCGGGUGAGCCCAUUCAGUAACAAUGAUAGCUCGUAGCUGUCACAGCACAUGAAAGCAGGGAGAGCUGCUCCUCACAUCAUUAAUCUUCUUUCAUGCUGUCCUGGAUUACUUCAGAGAAGCUAUUCAUGGGCAGCCGCCACACAGGACCUCUCUGCUGCCAUUUCUAUGCCACACUUCCAACCAAGAUGUCUGGUAGGCAGCGCUCAGUCUGACCUCAGCAGCAGUGGUGCUGGGAAACGUGUGUGCCUGCCCCUUGGGAAAGCAUCCUCGCCUCUACAGCAGCUAAGGAACUGCACUCCCAGAAACACUCCCAAAUUUCCACCUCCUUUCUGUGACCCGUUAACACAAGUACUGUUCUUUGGGCUCUUAUAUGCAUUUUAAGAUAAAAAUGGCUUUGUUUUUCCUAUCUAGGGCAACCUCCUCUCUUUGCUAGGGCACGCCAUGUUGAGGAGGAGGAAUGACAACAGCAGGUUCAGCAUCCAGGUGGCGUGAAGCAGAGAUGCUGGCGGGCUGAGAUACACUGCACUUCAGCAGCUGGACUUUGUGUCUCUUACAGAGGAGUACUUCUAAUUUGCUGGGUUUCACAUAUCAAACUUUGAAUCACCUAAGGUAAGUUUAUGGAGAAGUAAUAAGUUAUUUCAUCUGGGAAAUGACCUAAAAAAUGCAAUCGUCCUCCAGAGAGCAACUGUGCCAAAUCUGGAGAUGAAAUUCAUUAAACGAAGUGCAAGAGAAAAAGCUUUGAUUCUGCUUCAGCUGCAGAGCCUUUUCCAGAUGCAGUUUGGUGAGGAUUUGUUUCCAGCACUCUGUGGGAAUUCUGGUGCCCGGAGCUGCCAUUUCACAACAGUCACAAUAACCGCCUUCUUCAACUGUUUAAACACUGACAGGGCCUACAGCUGUACAGGCGUAGUAACGUUUGUCUAAUCCGUUAUCAUCUCAACAGGCAGCAGUGCUAACGGGAAAGCAAAAGGAAAUGCUUUUCACUGUGACAGAGGCAUCGCUGUACAUGAAUGUGUAUCUUCAGCAGCAGGGAAAGGCAGUACCCAGGCUCCAUUCACCUGCACAGAUGCACACCGCUGCCAGACGACUCACAGCAGUGACAGUGCUGUGUCGUUAGCUCUGAGGAAUAAAGCAUCUGACUGGAAUCACGUUCAAAGGACUAUCAAGACCCGGAGAGAAUUUUGCUAACGGGUGGCUUCUGCACUAAAGCCACCUCACUGUUGUAUCUGCUUUCCACAACAGGUAGCGCACAGACCUUUCUCACCACAGCGCAAACACCCGACGGACGGGGUUCAAACAGCACGGACGGGACAACAGCCCACCCUCCGCCGUCCCGCCCGCCAACGGUCGCCGCGUGCCUGCCCGCCCGUCCGCCCACACCGCUGUUGCCACGGCUCGGCGGGAGGCGGCAGCCAAUCAGGAGGCGGGGAGAUAUAUUUGUCGCUGUUGCUACCGGCGCUCCGGGGCGGGCGGCCAAUGGGGAGGCGGCUCGCGGCCGCCAUGGCGCUGGGCAGCGGAAAGAGCGGCCCUCCUCAGCGGCGGUGCUGGGCGGUUCAGGGCGGGAGGGCCGUCUUGGAGAUGGGAGACAAGGGCGGGAAAAGGGUGCAAAGCAGCACAAGGACAGCGCAUCCCGCCUUUUGCACUCCGCACAGCAGCGCCGGUUCACCCAAGGCUCCAUUGUUAAAAGUGACAAGGUGUGAAGGCACACACAGCACUUCAAAGCAGCCUAUAAGAAAAUGGCAUCCCAAGGGAGAGCCAGGGGAGCAAACACUGGGUGCCCCAGGGCCACAGCCCCACCGUACCCCGGUGUGGGGCUCAAAACACUGUGUGCAAAUAAAGGUUGUCCUCCUUUUCGGUUGAGUUUCACGUGCCUUCACAAUGCAAUGAAGGACUGAGACCUGAGCAGUGCUAUAGGCACUACAGGUACUGCCACAGAAUCAGUAACUUGGUAUUUUUAACAUCUUCAGAAAAGCUUCAGACUGCUCCAGUGAAAGCAUACAACCCACGGUGUACCUUCCGUUUCUUACAUCCCUUGCAAAAUUCUUAUUACAGAGCUCAUUUUAGUAAGCUUUACUAUUUGAAAAGGCCCUCAUCCUUCUGCCCCAUUCUUUCUGUUCCUCAUCUCCACAUCAAACUCCUCAUUCGUUUAAAAUAUAAAGAAAACCAGGAAAGAAUGAGGUUUUUGCUGGAGAAGUGCAGACCACAUUGAGCAUCUCUGCAGGUAGGCCACGUUUGUUCCCCACUUAGAAUUGAGAGAGCAGCCACACUGCCUGGAACAUGUCAGUGCUUCGUGGGUCACCAGCUAGAUACUCCAGGACCUGAAAGAAAGGAGGGAAUCAAAGCUUCACCACAUAGGAUCUUCAGUGCAGUUUCUCACCAUGGAAGAGCUCCUUCGGGCAGGUGUACAGAGGCACAGGACUGUGGGAAGGGAGGGAAUGUCAGUGGUGAGCACUGUGUGCGAAGGGACAAAGUCUUUGUCCCCUUCUAAUAGUAGAGUAAUCCACCUGUACAAGGUGUGGGUGUAACAACGGCAAGCACAAUCUGUGCGCAGUUCUGAAUUCCAAGAGCAAUUCCUCCCUUCUUUUUGCCCAAGGCACCAGCUCUGUAUAAAAAUAAGUAAACAGUGCAGGGCAAAACCAGCAUAAAGUAACUAAUGAAGAUGGGAAUGAUCACUUCGACAAGGGAGUUCUGUUCAGGAAGGGAAAGAAAUGUCUCCAAAAUGAGUUAGCUGGUUUUUGUUUUACUCUCAUUUUGAUAUGUGAC
ensembl:lncRNA